rnacentral:lncRNA from 1 species
AAAGCAGUGUAAUUACUGUGGGAGGGCUUUCAAUCCUCAGCUAAGACCAUCAAUAGCUGUCAGGACCUGCACUCCUUCCAGAGGCUGGUUGCAUUUUAAAGGAGGCCGGAGAGAAAAGCAAACAGACCAUAACAGCGGGAGGGACUGUAUUUAAUGUGCACCUUAUCUACUUCUCUUCAUUUAUUUUUCUACUGCGAUUUCCCAUGCAGACUGAUAAAGCAACAAGGGGAAGGGAAAUUAGCAAAGGAAAGCUUUCACCAAUGACAAGGGUCUGGCCCUCGGCUUCCAGCGAACAAAGGAAGAGGUCAUUUGAUAAGAAGCAGAUGUGAAAAAAUCACUCACGCGACGCAUCGGUCUCGCUUUUGUGCGUCGACAUUAAGGCCCCGCCAGGCGAGUGAGUGGGUUCAGAGCGGGUCAGAACACUGUUCCCACGGAGAGAUACCCAAUCGCCAAGGGGUUAAGUGUCUCAGGAUGUUCCACCGGCAGCAGUGGAGCAUGCCUGCGUCUGAUAUCAUGUGAGUCUCCGGAAUGGAUGCACGACAUCAGUUAUCUAGUGCUUUUCGACAGUAUGUUUCCCAACGGCACACACGACCCGUGUCUUGCAGGCCGGAACCCGACUGGAUGGUGGACUUUUCUUCUCACGAGCAGGAGCCCGAACUCCAUUACUCUGUGACUCACUCGCGCGGCCAUCUGAGCUCAGAAGGCGCUGGACACACAUCAGAGGAGGCGCUCAGCAUCGCCUGGCAGCGCUUGGGCCUGGCGGCGGCGCCGCUUGUUUGUCUCCUGCCUUUUGAGCUUGUUGAUCAGAGGGAUUCAAGGCCGUUGGCGCUGGACCAGUGGAUCUUUACUGUACGUUUGGCAGAAAUCCUGAUGUCGAUGUGUGGUGAACAGGGGAGGGUUCGAGCCGCAUGCCUGGAAUCCCAGGG